ensembl:lncRNA
GCUGGGCGAUUUUGUGUCGCCGCAAUUAAGCUCCACCGAGGCCAACGUGACAACAGGACACCAUCGGUUUAAUCGGCUCACAUGGGAGCGAGGCAGUGACCUCACCGCAGUGACCUCACCGCAGUGAUGUCAUCAAGGUGAGUCCGAUGUCUCAGAAAUUGUUUUGAAGGACGUCUGUACACCUGUGGCAUGUUGCAAUGCAGCCAAUUCUAUGCAUCCCGAAUCCGCUCACAUAAUCCGUGUGAGAAGACUUUCCUUUCUUCAGAUGUUGUGGUUGUUGGCAUGAAAAAAAAUAAUCCAAUACAGACAGACAGAAAAAGGAUUCCUUUCUAACAAGAUCACCCUUCGUUUUUGUUUUUUUUUUGUCUUUUGAUUGAGUAAUUUUUGAACUUACCUGAUAUUUCUAAGCAUUUCUAGCCCAUCUGAAUAUUUUUGUCUAAAACAAACAGACAAACCUAAAGCUUAUCUCUAAGGCAUACUGUUCACCGAAACACUCAACCUGCUACAAGGGUCAUUAAUGCCGAGACUAAACUGACAGAUAAUUAACCGUCACACUAAGACAGGAAAUGUAUUGUGUUUUUGUCAGACAGUCAGAUGUUUUUUCUGCUAUGUGCAAACAGAGAUGCUAUCAGACAUUACGCACACAUUCAUGUGACGUUACGUCUGUGUGUGUGUGUAUAUAUGAAUUAUUGACUGUAAACGGUGGGUUUCUGUUGCAAAAAAGCCAGAAGGUUCCUACCAGAAACUGUUACUUAUUAGCCAGAGCCUGUGUCGCGCUGUUAGAGGGAUUCUUUGUAGGUGACAUCACAGGUGCUGGACACAGCGAGGGGGAGAGACGCAUUCACAACUUCAGACUGCAGGAGAUCAUUGAUGUUUGCGUCUUCGAUUUCAUGAUUUUGACAACAAUGUGGACAGCUGGGGAGACAUUUCUCAUUGCUGUCCAAAUCUGCAAUUCAAAAAUUUGAGUGCACAAGAAACUUCCCAGAAGUCUCUGUGAAAGACCGGUGAACAUUGGUGCUAACUAGAUUUGCAAACACAGACCACAAUGCAUUGCGUUUGAAGGAUUUUUCAUGCAAAAAACAAAGUUCGGUGUGAACGCAAAAUAAGACGCCAACGCUUCCUUUGAUAGAUAAUGAUAAGCGCUAGUUCAGUGGCAGAAAUUUAAAUGUAUCUGCUUUAAAUCAUUGUUCACAUUUGUCGCCAAAAAGUGAUGGAAAUACAUGUCAGACGUCAGAGCUCUGUCUCUCCCUCUGGUCACCAGCGGGAACUGUCUCCAGAGUUUUGAGUGUACUUCAUCUCCCAGCAACCCUGGCGCCCAGUUUCUGGAUGAAAUGACACAUGACUUUCAUUUUUCAUCACUCACAGUCUACGUAAAAACUGCAUUGAGCCUCACUCAGUGUGAAGUAUUGUUUAUGCCACUCUGUCUGCAUUACCCAUCGUUACAUCCAGAUGUAGUCUUCUGAUUUCCUGACCAUGACCAUGACCAUGUCUCGGACUCAGUUUGCCUACCGCCUGUCCCGAUUCUUGCCUGGAUCCUGACUACCCCUGUCUCUUCUCUGAUGCUCCCAUGCUCGUUAUUGACCCCUGCCUGCCUGACCAUGAUUUUGCUUUGUGGACUUUUAGCUGAGCUAAUAAACCUGCUGCAAUUGGAACCAGCCAUCUGCCUGUUUUCUGACAUCAUGUUGGUUGCACGUGUGCGCACUGCUGCAUUACUUGCACAAAUUUUAAUUGCAUCCAAGGUUGCAUUUUGUUGUUGGUUGCACGUAUUUAAAAUUUUUGUUAAAGUUAAAGUCCCAUUUUCUGCCACGCACCGAGGUGUGUAAAAUGUGUUCUCUGCAUUUGAUCUAUCCCCUGAAGGAGCGAUGAGCUGCAGAAACAUCCAUGUUCAGGAACUAUUUGGUAGUUUAACCCUGACUGCAACCCUAAUUCCAACUUUAACCCUUCCUCUAGCUCUGUGCAGCCAAGAAAAAAGUGCAGGGCCGGCCACACGUAUUUUAUAAAUUACGUGCGACGAGACAAUAUCUUUCUAGAAUUUUAAAAUAAUGUUUUGCGCAUAUCUGCAAUAGAAAUCCAGCAAUUGAUAGGGACAUUGGUGACUGUUAUAGGUUUGGGUUGUUUUACACAGUGACAAAUCUGUUAAUGUAAAUUUCUAUUUUACCUUUUUUUUAUUUUGAAAGAUGUGGCAAUAAAGGUAAGAACAUAUUUGCAAGAACUCAAUGCAAUACAAAAAACGUCUCUUUACAGUUUAUUUUUAUUUAUUACAAAAACAAUCCUUUGUUUUUAGUGGGUUAAAUCAAAAUACAAUCUUUCUUUAAAUUUACAUUCUAACAUUCCAUUUAAAUUCAUGCUUGAAAAACAUAGUGGAUUAUUAAAGCAUACCAAAGAUCUUCUGUUCCUCGUCACAAUCACUGCAAAUGAAAAGCAGCAAAGUCUUCUUCCUCUUUCAGGUCAUGUCUCCUCCUCGCACUACAAAUUAUAUUUGUCUGUGCUCACUCUUCCACUGCAAAUAUUCAAACCCCGUUUGGAACCAGCUUCCUGUGUUUUGAUUUUCACUUGUUGCUUUGUGUUUUAAUGUUAUCUGAACUGUGGCUGACUUCUAAGUGGACACACACCCCUAUAAACACACAGAAAAUAACAACUGUGGAUGGAUGGAGAAAGAAAUGCUGCUGGCAGUCAUAAAUAUCACUGACAUACCACAUAAAAAAGCACAAUAUGAUAAAUGUCGACUAAGGUUUCUCAGCAUAUGCCUGAGCGUGUUUUAUCAUCUUCAAAUCUGGAGGCUCAGUUAAUGGCAAGUGCUCAAAUGCUUUCUCUGUUCUGCAGUGUGUGUAAGGAGAAUUUGUGUUUGCAGAGUGUCUUCAUUCUGAAGCAAAUAAAGUAUUUUUAAUAAUUCCUCCAACGUUUGAGUUACAAGAUGUUUUUAAAGAAAGUAAAGUUCCUUAAAAGUAAAAGUUUUACAUUUGUGCAUUUUUAAACUGUUAUCAAAUGAACUUGCUGAUUUGUGCAGGAACAUUGUGCCAAAGUAAACUGAAAUGUGGAUGUUCUCUGGAGUGAGACAAACGUAUGGGGUGAGAUACCUGUCAAUAAGAAACGUAUGCAUAAAAACAUAUAUGCGCACAAAUUAAUACUUUGUGUACAAUUUUUGAAAAAAAUAUAUGAAUACAACAUUUACUUUACGUUUGAAUAUAAUUUGUCUGCAUUUUGAAUACGACACUUGCUUGUCUUUAAUAUGAAAUUUGACCUUUUAACUCACUGUCAAAAAUACGCCACAGGGUCACAGGCACACAUGGUGUCCUAAAACAUCGAUUCAUCUUAGUAAGCUUGAACUUUGACUGAGCUUACUGUGGCUGGGGGGGUUUCGCACUGGACUCUUGAGCAGUGGAGAUGCCUUCUCUGGAUUAAUGAAUCAUGCUUUUCCAUCUGGGAAUCUGAUGGACGAGUCUGGGUGUGGAGGUAGCCAGGAGCACUGCACAUUUCAGACUGCAUUGUGCUGAGUGUAAAAUUUGUUUGAGGAGGAAAAGAUGUUUUUCAGGACUUGGGCCUUGCCCCUUAGUUCCAGUGAAAGGAACUCUGAAUGCUUAAGGCAAAACUAUUUUGGACAAUUCCAUGCUCCCAACCUUGUGGGAAAAGUUUGGCCUCUUCCUCUUCCAACAAGACAAGUUGUGCACCAGUGAACAAAGUAAGGUCCAUACAGACUUAGAUGACAGAGUCUGGUAUGGAUAAACUUGACUGGCCUGCAAAGAGUCCUGGCCUAAACACCUUUAGGGAUGAAUUAGAGCGGAGACUGAGAGCAGGCCUUUUUGAUCACAGUGUGACCGCAAUGCACUUUUGGAAGAAUGGUGAAAAAUUCCUAUAAAGACUCUCCUCAACCUUGUGGACAACUUUCCCAGAAGAAGCUAUAAUAGCUGCGAAAGGUGGACCAACAUCAUAUUGAACUUUAUGGGUUAGGAAUGGAAUGGUACUUCAGUUCAUAUGUGUGUCAAAGCAGGUGAGCGAAGACUUUUGGUAAAACAGUGUAUUUGCAUGCAAUGUCAGUAUUUUUUUGGUGUAGUUUAUAUUUUUACAUUUAUUUAAACCACCAAUUGGUUCCUGAGCAGCUGUGUCUGCAGCUCACCGCUCCCCCAGCGGUCAAAUGCGGAGAACAAAUUUCACACAGCGAGGUGUUUGACAACUAACGAGACAUAAACUUAACUUUAGUACAGUGUUGCUCUUGUUUACUUUUUUUUUUUGCAAGUGACUGUGGUAUUGCUGCCUUUAUUUGAAAAAUAUAUGUUUGUGUUGCUGUUUUUUUUCUUCAUUUUUGUUACACUGUAGUAGUUUUUUUUUUAAUUUGCACUAGUUACUGUUUCCUUCUUAUUAUUUAUUAUGCCUUUACUAAUAUACAUGUUCUAUAUUUGAUGCAUGUUCAGUUCAGAUUGUUGUAAUUAGUUAACAAACAUUUGUGUUUGCCAAAUGUCUCUGUCCUGCUUUUUAUCAUACUCCUAAUGAACAAUGGUUCAUUCAUUCAUUCAUUCAUUCAUUCAUUCAUUCAUUCAUUCAUUCNNNNNNNNNNCAUUCAUUCAUUCAUUCAUUCAUUCAUUCAUUCAUUCAUUCAUUCAUCUUCUUAACCGUUUAUUCCCUUUCGGGGUCACAGGGUUGCCGGAGCCUAUCCCGGCCACUUGGGCGUAGGCAAGGGAUACCCUGGACUGGUCGCCAGUCUGUCGCAGGGUGGAAUAUAUCCUCAAUCAUACAUCCAUUCACUCUCACGCCUAAGGACAAUUUAGAGUUGUCAAUCAACCUAUGUAGCAUGUUUUUGGACAGUGGGAGGAAGCCGGAGAUCCCGGAUAAAACCCACACAUGCACGGGGAGAACAUGCAAACUCCACACAGAAAGGUCCCCCAUUGAUGUUGUGUUUUUCAUGUCCCCCAGCCGGGACUUGAACCGGGGCCUUCUUGCUGUGAGACAAGAUGAUGGUGAUGGUAUCAAUGGACAAUGGUAUCAGAUCAAAAUUGCCCACUCCAAGUGUCUGCUGCUACUUCCGGGUCUGAAACUAUCCAAUGGUGCAUUGUUUACACCAUCACCUGUUGAGAGUCACUGAGUUAUGUAACAAGAUAAUUUCUUUGUUAUGAGAUAAAUAACACUCUAAAAGCUCAAUUUUUUAGUAUAAAAAUCAAAACCUCAAUGCACAUGUGUGAUGUGAAUAAUCUAUGGCAACGUUCACACUGCAGGGCUUAAUGCUAAAUCUCAAUUCCGAUUUUUUGAAAAAAAUCGAUUUUUUUCCAAGGCCGUUCACAUUUCCAAUUAAAUACAAACUUUUGUGAUCUUCUGUGUAAACUUGAAAUGACCCAGAAGUUACCCUUAUGCGCAUAAGAGUACUAAAUGGUGAAUAACAUCUCUCGUUGUUUGCGGAAGUAGCUAACAUUAACAAUGGAUGCCAACAACAGUGUUGUCAACAGCGGAGCUCUUUUUGCAUUUUUACAUUUAUUUUCACAAAGGAGCCAGCACAAUUGGAAUCUUGUCAUUUUAAGAAGAAAAUUAAAAAGGAGGAUAGCAAGGUUAUUGGCCAUGGCAUUUUGUGAAACAUUGUUUCAAGUCGGUACAGAGAAUCCUGUGGGUGCGGAGUCGACUAGCCAGGCUGGCUGCGACAGCUAUGUGAUCUGCGCUCCCCUCCUCGGGCUCCUCUUGGCCAAAGCAGCUGUCCAACAUUCUAGUGGCUGAACACUGGGCUU